rnacentral:rRNA from 1 species
GGCGGCAGGCCUAACACAUGCAAGUCGAGCGGUAACAUUUCUAGCUUGCUAGAAGAUGACGAGCGGCGGGCGGGUGAGUAACGCGUAGAAAUCUACCUAGUAGUGGGGGAUAGCCCAGAGAAAUUUGGAUUAAUACCGCAUACGCCCUACGGGGGAGAGCGGGGGAUCCUCGGACCUCGUGCUAUUAGAUGAGUCUGCGUCGGAUUAGCUUGUUGGUGAGGUAAUGGCUCACCAAGGCGACGAUCCGUAGCUGGUCUGAGAGGAUGACCAGCCACACUGGAACUGAGACACGGUCCAGACUCCUACGGGAGGCAGCAGUGGGGAGUAUUGCACAAUGGGCGCAAGCCUGAUGCAGCCAUGCCGCGUGUGUGAAGAAGGCCUUAGGGUUGUAAAGCACUUUCAGCAGUGAGGAAAGGGGUGUCGUUAAUAGCGCCAUCCUGUGACGUUAACUGCAGAAGAAGGACCGGCUAACUCCGUG